CCCGGGACACCCAUUUCCUUUCCUUCAACAUUUCUGAGACCUGACCAUUUCCUUCAACAUUUCUGAGACCCAUUUCUUUUCCUUCAACAUUUUUGAGACCCAUUUCCUUCAAUGGAAAAUGGAAAAAAAUGGUGGUAAAGUACUUUGGGAGCCCACCUGAAACUUGUAAAAGUUAUUUUUUUUGGCCUCUCUCUCUCAUGUGAUGUCCUUGGUCUCUUCCUCACUCUCUCAACCACCGCUCCUUCAACUUCAACUCCAACUUCAAUCCCUAUAGAAAUUGGACUGAAAUAUCUCUGGAGAUGCUCACCAAUGUCAAGAACGACUUUCUUCUUCUUCUUGGGAUAUCUCAAUGACUUCACCUCUGUUGGCCUCUUCGUUCCUAAUAGCUUCUUCUUCAAAAUCAGGGCCCUUCUCAGAGAAUUGCCUCCUUUCAUGAGCUUUGAUGUGUAUAUUAUUUGUUGUAAAGUAUAUAUAGUAGCAUUGGGUUGUGCUUAGAGGGCAUAUCUAUUUGUUAUAUUCAUUGAUUUCAGAUGUAUUCCAUGGAUAUACAUACACGGUAUGCUCUCUCAUCAGCCCUUAUUGGUGGUGUAAUGGGUGCACAUGCUCAACUAUGGGAGUGUACAUAAGAAGAAGAAGAUUAACAUUGGUGUCGAUAAGAUUAGAUUGAGUUUGAUCGAGCUAUAUUACCAUGGCGGACGAUUUGACUCGGCAGUCGAGCAGCCGAGGUAGUGGAUGGCGGUCGACCAGUGUGAGGGAAAUGUGGAACGCGAUGGACGUGUUCCAGCAGAGCGGACGGCAGUCGACGCAUGAGAAGGAUGAGGAGUAGCUGCGGUGGGCGGCCAUAGAGCGGUUGCCGACUUAUGAUAGGAUGAGGAGAGGGAUGUUGACUCAGGUGACGAGUAAUGGGAGGUUGAUGCUUGAAGAGGUUGAUGUUACUAAGCUUGGUAGCUAGAACAAGAAGUAGUUGAUGGAGAGUAUUUUGAAAGUUUUUGAGGAUGAUAAUGAGAAGUUUUUGGAG